GCUCCUAUAGUGUAGUGGUUAUCACUUCGGAUUCUGAUUCCGACAACCCUGGUUCGAAUCCAGGUAGGAGUG
rnacentral:tRNA from 1 species